rfam:Natronolimnobius innermongolicus JCM 12255 contig_15, whole genome shotgun sequence.
AGAUAACUCAGAAUCCUCCAACUGGGGAUAUGAGUAACGGUCGUUUGGCACGGCCAGUAGCCUACCUGUUCAAUCAAACCUCGGGGCGUUUCGCACCGAGCGAACAGGCUGGUUGCAAACCUUAAUAUCCCAACGCUUGGGAAUCCUCGCCCUUCAGGGCGGGGA